UACGUAGGGUGCGAGCGUUAAUCGGAAUUACUGGGCGUAAAGCGUGCGCAGGCGGUGAUGUAAGACAGAUGUGAAAUCCCCGGGCUCCAACCUGGGACCUGCAUUUGUGACUGCAUCGCUAGAGUACGGCAGAGGGGGAUGGAAUUCCGCGUGUAGCAGUGAAAUGCGUAGAUAUGCGGAGGAACACCGAUGGCGAAGGCAAUCCCCUGGGCCUGUACUGACGCUCAUGCACGAAAGCGUGGGGAGCAAA
rnacentral:rRNA from 1 species